AUGGCUCAGUGGUUAACACUGCUGCCUCACAGCACCAGGGACCUAGGCUCAGGCUAUUGACUGUGGAGUUUGCACAUUCUCCCUGUGUCUUUAUGGAUUUCCUCCCAUAAUGUAAAGAUGUACAGAGUAGACUGUGAAUUUAAAGGCAGAGAAGUAGAGAGUGCUUGAUGAUGGAAAGGCUGACUGUGCUUCAGUUGAAGAAACUUUGUUUAGUUUGUGUUACUGGCAUUUAUGGCUGCCAAUGGAAAAAUUAUCCACCACAACUUAACAAAAAGAGCACAUAUAUCUGGUGUCUGAUCUUGUGCUGUGCCUUUGGCAUCAGUGUUUUCUGGUUUUACUGUUGGUGGGCACUACGCAAUGACUACAGCAACUUAAAUGAGCAUUUAUUUGCAAAGAUGCAUCGGUGGUUAGACUGGUCAGUGAUUCUCCUAAUAUUGACA